rnacentral:rRNA from 1 species
CUCCAGACUCCUACGGGAGGCAGCAGUGGGGGAUAUUGCACAAUGGGGGGAACCCUGAUGCAGCGACGCCGCGUGGGUGAAGGAGUAUUUCGGUAUGUAAAGCCCUAUCGGCAGGGAAGAAGCAAGACGGUACCUGACUAAGAAGCCCCGGCUAACUACGUGCCAGCAGCCGCGGUAAUACGUAGGGGGCAAGCGUUAUCCGGAUUCACUGGGUGUAAAGGGAGCGUAGACGGCGACGCAAGUCUGGAGUGAAAGCCCGGGGCCCAACCCCGGGACUGCUCUGGAAACUGCGGCGCUGGAGUACGGGAGGGGCAGGCGGAAUUCCUGGUGUAGCGGUGAAAUGCGUAGAUAUCAGGAGGAACACCGGCGGCGAAGGCGGCCUGCUGGACCGUGACUGACGUUGAGGCUCGAGAGCGUGGGGAGCAAACAGGAUUAGAUACCCCCGUAA